CUUUGGGUCCCUCCCUUUGUAUGGGAGCUCUGCUUUCACUCUAUUAAAUCUUGCAACUGCACUCUCUUCCAGUCCGUGUUUGUUAGGGCUGGAGCUGAGCUUUCGCUCGCCAUCCACCACUGCCGUUUCCGGCCACUGCAGACCCGCCACUGACUUCCAUCCGUCCAGAUCCAGCAGGGAGUCCGCUGUGCUCCUGAUCCAGUGAGGUACCCAUUGCCGCUCCUGAUCAGGCUAAAGGCUUGCCCUUAUUCCUGCACAGCUAAGUGCCUGGGUUCGCCCUAAUGGAGCUGAACACUAGUCACUUGGUUCCACAGUUCUCUUCCGUGACCCAUGGCUUCUAAUAGAGCUGUAAUACUCACCGCAUGGCCCGAGAUUCCAUUCCUUGGAAUCCGUGAGCCCAAGAACCCCAGGUCAGAGAACACAAGGCUUGCCACCAUCUUGGAAGCGGCCUGCGGCCAGUUUGGAAGCGGCCCGUGGCCAUUUUGCAAGCAGCCCGCCACCAUCUUGGGAGCUCUGGGAGCAAGGACCCCCUGGUCACACAAUCGCUGAACUACAGCCCUCUGCUUCUGGCUCCCAACUUUCUGAAGCACUGUGGGGAAGAUGGUUCUUCACCAAUCCUGCAAUCCAACGGCCACCCAGUAAAAUGAGGAACAGACAUUCUUCCCAGCCCUGUGGGCUAGACGAGUAGCUAGUGUCUCUUCUAUAGACAAUCCCAUCAAGAACCACCUAAAAAAAAGACAGCUAUUUAAAAAUCUGUGACACUCAAAAAAGUCUUCCAACAUAUGAAUGCCAGCUCUUUUUGUCUUUAAUCCUCUAUUUUUCUUACUGUUGCCAGGAGACUGGAAGAAGCCAGCAGGCAAUGUAGUCAUUUGGUAAUGUUCUUCCUACUGCCAAGAUGGAUUAAUGCUGGGAGACCUUACAACGGGUACUUUCUUACACCCUGCCCACUGGACCAUGGGCCUCUGUGGUUCACUGGUUAACACUUGCCUAAUCAACUAGACAAACACAGGACGGGACAGCUGGGCGCUGAGCUGCCAGGGCACAUGUGGGAGCUGCUUCAAGACUGACCACGAGGCCAAAUUAAUCUAAGAACCUGUUGCAAGAGCAAAUGCUGUGAAGGCAAGAUGGAGGUGUCCCUGGGGGCCCAGUGGCUUCUCAGUGAAUGGGCUUCCAUUCUUCUUUUCUGCUUGACCAGCCUAAAAACAAGAGGCUGGCCUCACAGAGGAUUCUUCUUAGAAGAUAUUGCAGAGCCACUUAUAAGACCAACGUAUUUCACAGCCCAAUAUCCUUACUGACAUCUCAGACCACCCCUCUCCCCACCUUCUUUUAAUCACUUUCUUUUCUCCUCCAGGGCACAAACAGCUUUUAUGCAAAUUAUCUCUCAGGACAGGUGUGAGGGCUUUCCGCAAAGAAAGACUGAUCGCAUCCAAGGUCCUUUAUCCCUUAGAGGGCUCCCCAGGGACAAGCAACCUGUUCUGCCCCAGGGCUGCCGGACGCCCAGUUUUCCUGCUGUCUCUCAUCACAGGGGCGGUGGGGCGCGCCCGCCUCCAGCCUGGCUCUGGACCCGGGGCCCCGCCACCUCCCAGCAGCGGGCGCAGAGAGCCUUCUGGUUACCCCCGAAGCUGAGGAUUGCAGUGUUCUAGCAAUGGAUGAAAUCCUUUUUAACCGACUGUAAUAAAAAUAAGAUUGUGAAUAACAUGUGACUAUAGACCUCCAAAAAACUGGCGGCUGUG
rnacentral:lncRNA from 10 species